AACGCGAAGAACCUUACCAGGCCUUGACAUCCAAUGAACUUUCUAGAGAUAGAUUGGUGCCUUCGGGAACAUUGAGACAGGUGCUGCAUGGCUGUCGUCAGCUCGUGUCGUGAGAUGUUGGGUUAAGUCCCGUAACGAGCGCAACCCUUGUCCUUAGUUACCAGCACGUCAUGGUGGGCACUCUAAGGAGACUGCCGGUGACAAACCGGAGGAAGGUAGGGAUGACGUCAAGUCAUCAUGGCCCUUACGGCCUGGGCUACACACGUGCUACAAUGGUCGGUACAGAGGGUUGCCAAGCCGCGAGGUGGAGCUAAUCCCACAAAACCGAUCGUAGUCCGGAUCGCAGUCUGCAACUCGACUGCGUGAAGUCGGAAUCGCUAGUAAUCGCGAAUCAGAAUGUCGCGGUGAAUACGUUCCCGGGCCUUGUACACACCGCCCGUCACACCAUGGGAGUGGGUUGCACCAGAAGUAGCUAGUCUAACCUUCGGGAGGACGGUUACCACGGUGUGAUUCAUGACUGGGGUGAGGAGAGAACAAGGUAACCUUAAUUAAAA
rnacentral:rRNA from 1 species